rnacentral:rRNA from 1 species
GCACAAGCGGAGGAGCAUGUGGUUAAUUCGAUGAUACGCGAGGAACCUUACCUGGGCUCGAACGUAAGAUGACUGUAGGUGAAAGCUUACAUCUCUUCGGAGCAUUUUACGAGGUGCUGCAUGGUUGUCGUCAGCUCGUGCCGUGAGGUGUCGGGUUAAGUCCCAUAACGAGCGCAACCCCUACCUUUAGUUGCCAUCAGGUAAUGCUGGGGACUCUAAAGGAACUGCCUACGCAAGUAGUGAGGAAGGCGGGGAUGACGUCAAAUCAGCACGGCCCUUACGUCCAGGGCUACACACGUGCUACAAUGGCCGAUACAGAGGGCAGCUACCUGGUGACAGGAUGCAAAUCUCCAAAGUCGGUCUCAGUUCGGAUCGGAGUCUGCAACCCGACUCCGUGAAGUUGGAUUCGCUAGUAAUCGCGCAUCAGCCAUGGCGCGGUGAAUACGUUCCCGGGCCUU